rnacentral:rRNA from 1 species
UACGUAGGGUGCGAGCGUUGUCCGGAAUUAUUGGGCGUAAAGAGUUCGUAGGCGGUUUGUCGCGUCUGCUGUGAAAACCUAAGGCUCAACCUUGGGCUUGCAGUGGGUACGGGCAGACUAGAGUGCGGUAGGGGUGACUGGAAUUCCUGGUGUAGCGGUGGAAUGCGCAGAUAUCAGGAGGAACACCGAUGGCGAAGGCAGGUCACUGGGCCGCAACUGACGCUGAGGAGCGAAAGCAUGGGGAGCGAACAGG